UUUCUUUCUUUCUUUAUAUUUUCUUUUCUCUUCCUUCCCAUUUUCAUACCCACGACGCUACCCCUCUCACUACAGGCGACACCACUAUCGGCGACACCACUGUCUGUGGCAUCAGUGCUAAUGGCGCCACUGCCAAUUGUCAAUCUCCUCUAGUCACACUUCUUUCUUUCUUUCUUUCUUUCUUUCUUUCUUUCUCUCUUUCUCUCUCUCUCUCUCUAUCUAUCUAUCUAUCUCUCUAUUUUCGUACAUCUUUUCGCUUUCAUUUUCUCAGAUUUUCUGAUAUGAAAUAUUGCAUCCAUGGUUUCCGUAAAGAGCGUUCAUCCCUUUUUACUUCCAGCCGAGUGACUCAUGGCUGCCGUGCCGCUCAACUCUAUCGUCAUCAUUUCUACCAUCGUUGUUUGGUUUCAAGCAUUGUGUUGAGAGUGGGAAGAGCAAAAUGAGAGCAGUUGGGGUGGUUGAAGUAGGGUAUGGGCAUGUGCCGAAAGUUGGUGGAACCUGAUUUGGGAUAAAAGGAUCACUGGCAACUUGAAAGGAGGUGGGGGGAUAUGGCUCUAAAUUCUCUCGAUCUCUUGGUAUUUUUUUGAGUUUCUGUGUGUAGUGAGGUUGAGAAAUUUUGGUUUGUAUUUUUUGAGCUUUGUUUGGGGAGUUAUGGAGAGCCAAUGCUAAUGGGAUUGCACUGCA